rnacentral:rRNA from 1 species
GGAAUUGACGGGGCUCGCACAAGCGGUGGAGCAUGUGGUUAAUUCGAAGCAACGCGAAGAACCUUACCAGGUCUUGACAUCCCCUGACAACCCGAGAGAUCGGGCGUUCCCCUUCGGGGGACAGGGUGACAGGUGGUGCAUGGUUGCCGUCAGCUCGUGUCGUGAGAUGUUGGGUUAAGUCCCGCAACGAGCGCAACCCUCGACCUUAGUUGCCAGCAUUCAGUUGGGCACUCUAAGGUGACUGCCGGCUAAAAGUCGGAGGAAGGUGGGGAUGACGUCAAAUCAUCAUGCCCCUUAUGACCUGGGCUACACACGUGCUACAAUGGGCGGUACAAAGGGUCGCGAACCCGCGAGGGGGAGCCAAUCCCAAAAAGCCGCUCUCAGUUCGGAUUGCAGGCUGCAACUCGCCUGCAUGAAGCCGGAAUCGCUAGUAAUCGCGGAUCAGCAUGCCGCGGUGAAUACGUUCCCGGGCCUU